rnacentral:lncRNA from 1 species
CACAGCACCAGCCUCAAGCAUUUACUCAGUCUGGGGUGUUAGGCACAGGAAAACUAGCAACAUCCUUCCUCUAGCCAAGGACCUUGUAAUCUUGUUAGAGAGACAAGAAUCUGGGCUCUUAAACAAUCAACGUCCUGUAUAAGGGACAAAAAGGGAAGACACAGGGAACAAAUAAAAGCCAUUUCCUUUUUGAGAACUUUCUUACCUCCAGAACACAAGGAAGUGGGCUUUGGCAAUGAUCUCGGCAGAAACCUCAGCCACAGACCACUGGGCGAUCAAGAAUGCUGCUGUGGCUUCCUGGGGACCCACAGCGCCUGUCCACAUGGAUCAAAUAACUCAAAUGUUCUAAGUCACAGGCAGUGGACGGAGUUCCUUGGAAUACUCACAAGGCCUCAGUCGUUACAGGAGCUGGAUCCUCUCCAGUGGAAGAGACAUUUUUUGUGGACCAGAGACCUGAGAGAGAAGCAGAAAGAAGUGUUCAGCAACGUGCUGGGGGCCCGCAUCCUAGGGAUGAAUCAUGCCAGUGAUUGGUUUGGGGUGGCCAUGUGACCCAGGUCUGGCCAGUGAAAUGGAAGGGAAAGUCUUUGGGGUAGAGCUGGACCACUGGGAAACAUUUUCCUCUCUGACAAACUAAAGAGUGACGUUAGGAGAAGACUUUCUUUGCUUCAUGUUUUGCAUGCUGUCGUGUGUUUUCAAGCACCCAUGGCCUCUUUUUUCUCUCUAAUCUUACCUUCUAUGACAUUCCUCCUCCAUCACACCAAUCCAGCUACUGGUCUCCU